CGUCUGACGGAGAAGUCCUAAACGCGGGCAUUAUAUUUCUGUAUUCUUACAUAUAUGUUGUUUGAUUGAGUACACACGGUUAAUAAUUGUUUGUAGCCGGAUACAUUAGUCUGAGCGCACUUUGACACUUCUCCUGUUUGAUAGCUUCACUUAAGAUAGCUUGCAGCUAGUUUAGCUGGCUAGUUAGCUUAGCUUGUUAGCUGCUAACAAAGAGACGCGGAAGUUAUUUAAACAUCGCUAAGUAGGGAACUAAUGUGAGUGUAAAGUGUUGUGAUUGUGUGAAAAUGUGCGAAAGAACGAUAUCAAAGUACGAGGAGGAACUUUGUCCACCACAGAGGAGGACGAGCGACAUCAACUACUGGAUGUUUAUUAAAAGAAACAUCAUCAAGUUGUGUUACACAGAACAGACCCCCAUCGAAUGUGCCGGAGUGUCCGCACAUUUUACCGGCGAUGCUAAGGCAGACAUGGCACAGAGAUGUAUGGAUAUCCUGCAGAUGCAUUUUCAAUGAUAAAGUUAACGAAAUCACAAAGGUGAGUUUUGUUGAUGUUAUUGACUUAUGUGCUAAUCAGACAUAUUUGGUCGCGGCAUGACUGCCAGCUAAUCGAUGCUAACAUGCUAUUUAGGCUAGCUGUAUGUACAUUUGUAGCUAUAUUUGCAUCCAGCGUUUCCCUCCACCCACAUUUAAUGACAAACAAACACUUACCAAUCGACAGAUUUAAGUUGAUUCAGGGUCACAAGAUGCGAAAGUCCCGAACGUUUGGUCGGCACAUUUUACAGGCGAUGCUAAGGCAGACAUGGCCGAAUAGCGUCGAUAGCUAUUCGCUCAAUAGCUUCAGUUUCUUCUUCAAUUUCGUUUUUGCUAUCUGCCUCCAUACUCCAACCAUCCGUUUCAAUACAUGCGUAAUCUGUUGAAUCGCUUAAGCCGCUGAAAUCAGAGUCUGAAUCCGAGCUAAUGUCGCUAUAUCUUUCUGUGCUACCCGUUUGUUUGUAGUGGCAUCACUGGAUGACGUCACAGGAAAAUGGACGGUGGCUUCACAGAUAGCGAAAAUCAGGCACUUUAAAACCUUUUUUUGGGGAUAUUCCGGGAUGGGUAAAAUUUUGAAAAAAACGUAGAAAAAUAAAAAAAGCCGCUGGGAACUGAUUUUUAUUGGUUUUAACCCUUCUGAAAUUGUGAUAAUGUUCCCCUUUACUAAAAAGGCACUACUGAAAGAUGUCAGGAUGUUAUCCACAGGGCAGCAGACUUCAAGUCUGGAGUCGUAUCAUGCUGUUGUGAACCAUUUCGCUCCAAAACUACUGUACUUCUCUUAUCAGGGAAUGAAAAAUUGUUAAUUAUCCACAAACUGCUGGACUUUCUAACAAGGAAUGGAAAAUUGUCUAGCCAGUACUAAUAUAAAUGUACAUACAUAUAUAUUUGUAGCAGUAUAUGCCGAUUGGGGUUUCAUGUUAUUUUAUUAUUCAGACUCAUGCUGUCUGCCUUACACUUCAACGAGAAUGCCAGACGAGAACAGGCAGUGACCAAGAAAGGCAUCGCCAAGUACAAAAUCAACCGCCCAAAGUACAAGAAAGGAGAACAUACAGUGAAAAAGAUACUGGCACCACGAACAUACCGGAAGUUUAUCAUUUUUCGUGCAUCUGUUACGUUCCACGUAGUGGUGGUUUGUUUUUGUGUUUUUUUCUUCUUUUGUUUGAACAGGUCACACUCAAUCAUGACCUCUGCUGCCAAUCAAACGGUUCCUGUUCCCAGCUGCUCCUCAUUUCAUCUGUUGAUCAGCCAGCCAAUCCCGGUCCACCAUUUAUCCUCCUGACCUGCUUAAAACCACCUGUUCACCACUGGAUUGAGAAAUUAUUUUUCUGACAUGCUGUGUUGAGUUUUGAGAGACGCUACUUUUUCUUUGGCGCUACUUUGUUUUGUAAUCAUUUUUUCUAAGCUUUUUGCUAAACUUGUGCCACCUGUUUUGUUGUCUUCCUUUUUGUUUGACCUUCCAACAUUUGUAAGUAUCUGCGGCCUAAUCUUGGGAAAGGUUAGACAGAGGCCUCUAUACACUACACACAUAGGAUUUGUUUGUGUAUAGAGACACCAGGCUUAUUGGUGGCUGUCACCCUUGUAUGUUUUGGACCCACUCUUUGGUUGGAGUAGUUAGGUAGGUAUUUGGUUUAAACUAAUUAAAUAGCUUUAGUUUAGUCAGCUUACCUUUCUUUUCUAGAGGGUAUUUUUGGUAUGUUUUGUUCAUUUCUUUGACAGCACCUGUAUUCCCAAGCUAGGCUGGUGUCGUGUCUUUGUUGUAACUCCCACCCCCAUGGUUACUUUUCAAUACACUAGUUUUUGUUUUCAAUUUUUGGCUUUGGUAUUUUUAAUUUACAACUUAUUUGAUUUUUACACUUUUAUGUUGCGUUCCCCUACGAUCCCUAGACUUUGAGCCAUCUGGGAACGUAACAGCAUCAGACCAUUAUUUGUUUUUAUUUCUUCUUUGUCCUGGGUACCCCCUUAUCUCCAAUAAACAGGUGAAAUGUAUCAAACACGGA